UACGAAGGGGGCUAGCGUUGCUCGGAAUCACUGGGCGUAAAGCGCACGUAGGCGGAUUGUUAAGUCAGGGGUGAAAUCCCGGAGCUCAACUCCGGAACUGCCUUUGAUACUGGCGAUCUUGAGUCCGGGAGAGGUGAGUGGAACUGCGAGUGUAGAGGUGAAAUUCGUAGAUAUUGGGAGGAACACCAGUGGCGAAGGCGGCUCACUGGACCGGUACUGACGCUGAGGCGCGAAAGCUAGGGGAGCAAACGGGG
rnacentral:rRNA from 1 species